rnacentral:rRNA from 1 species
GAUGAACGCUGGCGGCGUGCCUAAUACAUGCAAGUCGAGCGAAUGGAUUAAGAGCUUGCUCUUAUGAAGUUAGCGGCGGACGGGUGAGUAACACGUGGGUAACCUGCCCAUAAGACUGGGAUAACUCCGGGAAACCGGGGCUAAUACCGGAUAACAUUUUGAACCGCAUGGUUCGAAAUUGAAAGGCGGCUUCGGCUGUCACUUAUGGAUGGACCCGCGUCGCAUUAGCUAGUUGGUGAGGUAACGGCUCACCAAGCAACGAUGCGUAGCCGACCUGAGAGGGUGAUCGGCCACACUGGGACUGAGACACGGCCCAGACUACUACGGGAGGCAGCAGUAGGGAAUCUUCCGCAAUGGACGAAAGUCUGACGGAGCAACGCCGCGUGAGUGAUGAAGGCUUUCGGGUCGUAAAACUCUGUUGUUAGGGAAGAACAAGUGCUAGUUGAAUAAGCUGGCACCUUGACGGUACCUAACCAGUAAGCCACGGCUAACUACGUGCCAGCAGCCGCAGUAA